GACGAACGCUGGCGGCGUGCUUAACACAUGCAAGUCGAACGGAAAGGCCCUGCUUUUGUGGGGUGCUCGAGUGGCGAACGGGUGAGUAACACGUGAGUAACCUGCCCUUGACUUUGGGAUAACUUCAGGAAACUGGGGCUAAUACCGGAUAGGAGCUCCUGCUGCAUGGUGGGGGUUGGAAAGUUUCGGCGGUUGGGGAUGGACUCGCGGCUUAUCAGCUUGUUGGUGGGGUAGUGGCUUACCAAGGCUUUGACGGGUAGCCGGCCUGAGAGGGUGACCGGCCACAUUGGGACUGAGAUACGGCCCAGACUCCUACGGGAGGCAGCAGUGGGGAAUAUUGCACAAUGGGCGGAAGCCUGAUGCAGCAACGCCGCGUGCGGGAUGACGGCCUUCGGGUUGUAAACCGCUUUCGCCUGUGACGAAGCGUGAGUGACGGUAAUGGGUAAAGAAGCACCGGCUAACUACGUGCCAGCAGCCGCGGUGAUACGUAGGGUGCGAGCGUUGUCCGGAUUUAUUGGGCGUAAAGGGCUCGUAGGUGGUUGAUCGCGUCGGAAGUGUAAUCUUGGGGCUUAACCCUGAGCGUGCUUUCGAUACGGGUUGACUUGAGGAAGGUAGGGGAGAAUGGAAUUCCUGGUGGAGCGGUGGAAUGCGCAGAUAUCAGGAGGAACACCAGUGGCGAAGGCGGUUCUCUGGGCCUUUCCUGACGCUGAGGAGCGAAAGCGUGGGGAGCGAACAGGCUUAGAUACCCUGGUAGUCCACGCUGUAAACGGUGGGUACUAGGUGUGGGGUCCAUUCCACGGGUUCCGUGCCGUAGCUAACGCUUUAAGUACCCCGCCUGGGGAGUACGGCCGCAAGGCUAAAACUCAAAGGAAUUGACGGGGCCCCGCACAAGCGGCGGAGCAUGCGGAUUAAUUCGAUGCAACGCGUAGAACCUUACCUGGGUUUGACAUGGAUCGGGAGUGCUCAGAGAUGGGUGUGCCUCUUUUGGGGUCGGUUCACAGGUGGUGCAUGGCUGUCGUCAGCUCGUGUCGUGAGAUGUUGGGUUAAGUCCCGCAACGAGCGCAACCCUUGUUCACUGUUGCCAGCACGUUAUGGUGGGGACUCAGUGGAGACCGCCGGGGUCAACUCGGAGGAAGGUGGGGAUGGCGUCAAGUCAUCAUGCCCCUUAUGUCCAGGGCUUCACGCAUGCUACAAUGGCUGGUACAGAGAGUGGCGAGCCUGUGAGGGUGAGCGAAUCUCGGAAAGCCGGUCUCAGUUCGGAUUGGGGUCUGCAACUCGACCUCAUGAAGUCGGAGUCGCUAGUAAUCGCAGAUCAGCAACGCUGCGGUGAAUACGUUCCCGGGGGCU
rnacentral:rRNA from 1 species